GCCUAACCAAAUACACAAUUAAACUACCAAUUGUCCGCCAAACAACUACGAGUCACACUUAAAACUUAAAAGACUUGACGGUACUUCACCACGACCUAGAGGAGCCUGUCUGAUAACCGACAAUCCACGAUUAACCCCACCCUUUCUCGCCCAACAGUCUAUAUACCGCCGUCGCCAGCUUACCUUGUAAAAGAAAUAAAGUGAGCCAAACAGUACUGCACUAAAACGACAGGUCGAGGUGUAACCCAUGAAAGGGGUUAAGAUGGGCUACAUUCUCCAACCGAGAAUACGAAUAGCACUAUGAAACUAGUGCCUGAAGGCGGAUUUAGCAGUAAGAUAGGAAUAAAACACCUAACUGAACACAACGCAAUGAAGUGCGUACACACCGCCCGUCAUCCCUGCCACACAACAUUAAAUCUUAAUAAACCGACAAAAAAGCCAAACAGGGCAAGUCGUAACAUGGUAAGUGUACUGGAAAGUGUACUUAGAAA
rnacentral:rRNA from 1 species